UCUCCUUCGAUCUUCUUCCUCUACGAUCUUCUUCGAUCUUCUUCCUCAAAAAUUACGCCCUUCGUUCUCAACUCCAUCGCAAUUUCAAUCAUAAUGAAUUGCAAAUCUGGAAUUAGUCCGCUCCAGGGUUCUUUAAAUUUGGGUGAAAUUCCUGGGUUUGAUCGAUCUUCUUCAAUUAUCGGGAUUUUAGUUAAUUUUUAGUUUGCUGAGGUUUCUGCAAUUUAUUUUUGAGAAAAUGGGAAAGCGUGGAAAUAAUCAGAAGAAAGCCCCUCAGAAUUUGAAGAAAAUGAAGCUGAAUAAUGAAGAUGUGAAAAAAUUCAGUAGUAUGGAGGAUGAAAUUAAUGUCUUUAUCCUCCUGUUUUCUGCAGGGCCGUUUCGAAAUUUUAUCACUCAGAUUCAUUCACGCUUUCAAAUGGUGGUGGUCCACGUAGCAGGGGCGGCGGUUUAAGUGUUUCUUUAGCUGGGCCAGAUGGGCGGGUCUUAGGAGGUGGUGUUGCCGGUGUUUUAAUAGCUGCGUCCCCAGUACAGACUUAUACAAGAUAAAGUUUGGCCAAAUCUAUUUGAGUAAGUCGAUGCCGACAGAAUCAGAUGGUGAAACAAAUAACCCAGAGAAUGGCAUGGAGCCUCAAAGAGCUGCAAUGGGGAAGCAGAACCACUGUCAGGUUCAAUAUACCCAGCAGGCCCACCUCCAGCAGCAGACACAGUGAGGAGAAUAACCAGCACAAAGAAGCUGAAGGAACUAAUGAAAUGACAUGGACAGCUCAAGCAGAAAUGCUGGAGAAGUGCUUGAUCGUCUCACACUUAUAACAGGGAGCAAAUUUGUGAAUAUUUUGCACUCGGCUUCUCUGUAGCAAUUCCUCGAGCAGCUUGAGUGCAGGGAGUAAAUCACCGGUCAGGGUGGUCGUUGAAGCUGUCAGCGACAUGCUGUCGACGGCAUUUCCGGUAUGGGUUGCUCUAGGAUGCUUAAUGGGGCUUCUGAAGCCAAGUGCUUUCAGUUGGGUCAGUCCACAGAUGUCUAUAAGGGGCUUGACUAUAACUAUGUUGGGUAUGGGCAUGACAAUUACUUUGGAUGAUUUGAGUGGGGCAUUUGCGUUGCCUAAAGAAGUUAUGCCGGAUUUUUUCUUCAGUACUCGAUGAUUACCGAGGCCUUGGUGUCACUCAAGGAGAGAAAUGGAUCAAGCCAUUACGCAAUCGCCAAACACAUAGAAGAGCAGAAGGUGAAUGAUCUCCCUUCUAACUUCAGGAUUCUUGGAGCAGAAGCCAUUAGAAACUAGACCGACAUUCUGGAAGCAAAGCUGAGACCACUGAACCAAUUCUUGGAGGCAAGAUUGUGGCUCAAGUUACUGGUACUUAUGCAGUUGCAAGGUGCUACAAUUAGCUUCAGCUUGCUUGCUACAGGCUAACAGGCUACAACUUACCAUCUGAUUUAUGCAAUUAAUUAAAUUCGUCUUUAUUUCGAUCAUGCACUUAAUAAACCAAAUGCUUCCCUCUUUGGGAUUGUGAUUUGUGAUCUGUGAUCAAUAAAUAGAAAAGAAGGAUGCUCCCUUUUAUGCUUUGUAAUCACAUCGAUCUAUUAUCAAUGCUAAUUAA